UACGGAGGAUGCGAGCGUUAUCCGGAUUCAUUGGGUUUAAAGGGUGCGCAGGCGGCGCGUUAAGUCAGCGGUGAAAUGUCCCGGCUCAACCGGGGAGCUGCCGUUGAUACUGGCGUGCUUGGGUGCGGACGGCGCCGGCGGAAUGUGCGGUGUAGCGGUGAAAUGCAUAGAUAUCGCACAGAACACCGGUCGCGAAGGCAGCUGGCGAGGCCGCUACCGACGCUGAGGCACGAAGGCGUGGGGAUCGAAC
rnacentral:rRNA from 1 species